AUUUAGUACUUCCAUUUAUUUAUUCAUUUUGGGAUAACAAUA
rnacentral:sRNA from 1 species